rnacentral:rRNA from 1 species
GGGAGUUAAAAGAAGUGAAAAUGCUGACAUGAGAAACGACAAGGCGGGUAAAAACCCCGCACGCCGGAAGACCAAGGGUUCCUGCGCAACGCUAAUCGGCGCAGGGUGAGUCGGCCCCUAAGGCGAGACCGAAAGGUGUAGUCGAUGGGAAACGGGUUAAUAUUCCCGUACCUUGGAUAGCUGCGAUGGAGAGACGGAGAAGGCUAGGUGAGCCGGGCGACGGUUGUCCCGGUUUAAGCGAGUAGGGAGUGGACUUAGGCAAAUCCGGGUCCACAAUCCCGAGACGUGACGACGACUGCUCAUAGAGCGGGAAGUCAUUGAUGCCAUGCUUCCAGGAAAAUCUUCUAAGCUUCAGGCUAUUCGAGACCGUACCCCAAACCGACACAGGUGGUCAGGUAGAGAAUACCAAGGCGCUUGAGAGAACUCGGGUAAAGGAACUAGGCAAAAUGGUGCCGUAACUUCGGGAGAAGGCACGCUGGCAGUAAGUGAAGCCCCUGCGGGUGGAGCUGAGACCAGUCGAAGAUACCAGGCCCCUGCGACUGUUUAUUAAAAACACAGCACUGUGCAAACACGAAAGUGGACGUAUACGGUGUGACGCCUGCCCGGUGCCGGAAGGUUAAUUGAUGGGGUUAGCGCUUGCGCGAAGCUCUUGAUCGAAGCCCCGGUAAACGGCGGCCGUAACUAUAACGGUCCUAAGGUAGCGAAAUUCCUUGUCGGGUAAGUUCCGACCUGCACGAAUGGCGUAACGACUUCCCCGCUGUCUCCAAUGCAGACUCAGCGAAAUUGAAUUGCCUGUUAAGAUGCAGGCUUCCCGCGGUUAGACGGAAAGACCCCGUGCACCUUUACUACAGCUUCACACUGGCAAUAGGUCAGACGUGUGCAGGAUAGGUGGUAGGCUUUGAAGCAGAGACGCCAGUCUUUGUGGAGCCUCCCUUGAGAUACCACCCCUGUUUGUCUUAUUGUCUAACCGCGGUCCGUUAUCCGGAUCCGGGACCCUGUGUGGCGGGUAGUUUGACUGGGGCGGUCGCCUCCUAAAGAGUAACGGAGGCGCGCGAUGGUGGGCUCAGACCGGUCGGAAAUCGGUCGUCGAGUGCAAUGGCAUAAGCCCGCCUGACUGCGAGUCUGACAAGACGAGCAGAGACGAAAGUCGGUCAUAGUGAUCCGGUGGUCCCGAGUGGAAGGGCCAUCGCUCAACGGAUAAAAGGUACGCCGGGGAUAACAGGCUAAUGACUCCCAAGAGCUCCUAUCGACGGAGUUGUUUGGCACCUCGAUGUCGGCUCAUCACAUCCUGGAGCUGCAGAAGGUUCCAAGGGUUCGGCUGUUCGCCGAUGAAAGUGGUACGUGAGCUGGGUUUAGAACGUCGUGAGACAGUUCGGUCCCUAUCUACUGUUGGUGUAAAAGAAUUGAAAGGAACUACUCUUUGUACGAGAGGACCAGAGUAGAUUGACCAAUGGUGUAUCGGUUGUCAUGCCAAUGGCAUCGCCGAGUAGCUAAGUCAGUACAGUAUAACUGCUGAAAGCAUAUAAGUAGGAAGACAACCUUAAAACUAAUUCUUUAAUUGAGUCGUGCAAGACUAGCACGUUGAUAGGCUAGAAGUAAAAGCAUGGUAACAUGUUUAAC